CACGUAGGGUGCGAGCGUUGUCCGGAAUUAUUGGGCGUAAAGAGCUCGUAGGCGGUCUGUCACGUCAACUGUGAAAACUCGGGGCUCAACCCCGAGCCUGCAGUCGAUACGGGCAGACUAGAGUUCGGCAGGGGAGACUGGAAUUCCUGGUGUAGCGGUGAAAUGCGCAGAUAUCAGGAGGAACACCGGUGGCGAAGGCGGGUCUCUGGGCCGAAACUGACGCUGAGGAGCGAAAGCGUGGGGAGCAAACAGG
rnacentral:rRNA from 1 species